rnacentral:rRNA from 1 species
GUGGGGAAUAUUGGACAAUGGGCGAAAGCCUGAUCCAGCCAUGCCGCGUGUGUGAGGAAGGUCUUCGGAUUGUAAAGCACUUUAAGUUGGGAGGAAGGGCAGUAAGUUAAUACCUUGCUGUUUUGACGUUACCGACAGAAUAAGCACCGGCUAACUUCGUGCCAGCAGCCGCGGUAAUACGAAGGGUGCAAGCGUUAAUCGGAAUUACUGGGCGUAAAGCGCGCGUAGGUGGUUUUGUAAGUUGGAGGUGAAAUCCCCGGGCUCAACCUGGGAACUGCCUCCAAAACUGCAUGGCUAGAGUACGGUAGAGGGUAGUGGAAUUUCCUGUGUAGCGGUGAAAUGCGUAGAUAUAGGAAGGAACACCAGUGGCGAAGGCGACUACCUGGACUGAUACUGACACUGAGGUGCGAAAGCGUGGGGAGCAAACAGGAUUAGAAACCCUAGUAGUCC